rnacentral:rRNA from 1 species
AAUAGAUACCCGGUAGUCCACGCCCUAAACGAUGUCAACUAGCUGUUGGGGCCUUCGGGCCUUGGUAGCGCAGCUAACGCGUGAAGUUGACCGCCUGGGGAGUACGGUCGCAAGAUUAAAACUCAAAGGAAUUGACGGGGGACCCGCACAAGCGGUGGAUGAUGUGGAUUAAUUCGAUGCAACGCGAAAAACCUUACCUACCCUUGACAUGUCUGGAAUCCUGAAGAGAUUUGGGAGUGCUCGCAAGAGAACCGGAACACAGGUGCUGCAUGGCUGUCGUCAGCUCGUGUCGUGAGAUGUUGGGUUAAGUCCCGCAACGAGCGCAACCCUUGUCAUUAGUUGCUACGAAAGGGCACUCUAAUGAGACUGCCGGUGACAAACCGGAGGAAGGUGGGGAUGACGUCAAGUCCUCAUGGCCCUUAUGGGUAGGGCUUCACACGUCAUACAAUGGUCGGGACAGAGGGUCGCCAAGCCGCGAGGUGGAGCCAAUCCCAGAAACCCGAUCGUAGUCCGGAUCGCAGUCUGCAACUCGA